rnacentral:rRNA from 1 species
CGGCAGGGCACUCGCGCCUCCCUCCUCCCCGCGCGUCGUCCCCCGCCCUCGCCCGCUCCUGUCCGACGACGCCCGCGUCACUCCCCCCAACCGCCGCGCCCCUGGUGGGCGCGGGCCAUCCACUUAUGGCGGGCACUUUGCCGAUGCCUGCCGGUGAGACCCCGCAGGAAGGCGGGGACUGCCGUCAAGUCAGCAUGGCCUUUGCGGGCAGGUCUGCCACACGUUAUACAAUGCCUGGUCCAAAGGGAAGCGAGACUGUAAAGUGGAGCAAAUCCCCUAAAGCCAGGCCCAGUUCAGAUUGUCGUCUGCAACUNGACGGCAUGAAGCUGGAAUCGCUAGUAAUGGCGCAUCAGCUACGGCGCCGUGAAUACGUUCCCAGGCCUUGUACACACCGCCCGUCACAUCAUGAAAGCCGGUUGUACCCGAAGUCAAUGUGCUAACCGCAAGGAGGCAGUUGCCGAAGGUAUGGCUGGUGAUUGGGAUGAAGUCGUAACAAGGUA